GUGGGGUCAGUCAGCCCUGCCUCACCACACCUGCACUUGGCAUCAAGCCUGGAGAAAGGAGUGAAAAGGGUUGAACCCAGCUCAGCUGGGGGCUGGCCAGGAAGGAAAGCAGAUCUUUGGCCCUCCCUCAGAGAGAGCAGCUGGGCAGGAAUUGUGAAGCUGACUUGUACUGCUGGCAUUUAGAACCCUCCUGAAGGAAGAUUCAAGCUGCAUGUGAAUUGUGUAAUGGAAUUAGAAACAUUUGCGUGUUAAGGAAAAAGCUCCCUGUAAGGAUGGGUUGAUCUCGGUGCUUUUGCUGAAAGUGAAUAUUGUUCUAGUGAAACUACAGGAUUGACAGCCUUGGAGAGUAAAGACUGAUCUUCAGCCAUAGAAAAGGGUGUGGGGAGUAAGGCCCUGCAGCUGUACCUACUCAGUACUCCUGACAGCAUAAUGAGUCAGUUUGGCUGCCUGGUGGAUAGCCCUUCCUGACAACCCUGCCUGAUUGGCUGAAAAAGUCAGCAGGCUGGUUCUUAAGCUCAGCAGCAAUAGCUUGCUGGCUGCUCAGUGCACACACCAGCUAAUUCUCUGCCUCCUUGUGCUGGCCUCGCUCUAAGCUGUGCACCUAGCUCUGUUUCUGCCUUCCCUGACUCGGGUAAUCCAGUUCUGACCUUCAGCUCUGAUCCCUGGCUCUGACUCUGCAUUGACCUUAGGUUCUGGCAUUCAGACUGACCACUAGGUAUGACUGCUGCUCUGACCACUAGGCCUGACUGUUUAUGAUCUGGUCCCCUUAUCAGGGGACCAGACAAGAAUACAAGCUUUGCUCAGGCUGCCCUGAGACCUGUGUUUUAUAAAGAGCGUUUCUGGGAAUGAAGAAGGCAUUGCAAUCUCUGACCUACUCAGACUUCCAAGGAUACCAAUGGGUAUUGGCUGAAAUAGUGGUUUGGUUUCUUUCAUUUUAAUAAAAAGAAAAGGAG